rnacentral:rRNA from 1 species
GAUGAACGCUGGCGGCGUGCCUAAUACAUGCAAGUCGAGCGAAUGGAUUAAGAGCUUGCUCUUAUGAAGUUAGCGGCGGACGGGUGAGUAACACGUGGGUAACCUGCCCAUAAGACUGGGAUAACUCCGGGAAACCGGGGCUAAUACCGGAUAACAUUUUGAACUGCAUGGUUCGAAAUUGAAGGGCGGCUUCGGCUGUCACUUACGGAUGGACCCGCGUCGCAUUAGCUAGUUGGUGAGGUAACGGCUCACCAAGGCAACGAUGCGUAGCCGACCUGAGAGGGUGAUCGGCCACACUGGGACUGAGAAACGGCCCAGACUCCUACGGGAGGCAGCAGUAGGGAAUCUUCCGCAAUGGACGAAAGUCUGACUGAGCAACGCCGCGUGAGUGAUGAAGGCUUUCGGGUCGUAAAACUCUGUUGUUAGGGAAGAACAAGUGCUAGUUGAAUAAGCUGGCACCUUGACGGUACCUAACCAGAAAGCCACGGCUAACUACGUGCCAGCCGCCGCUGUAAAAC